ACUCGAGUGGCGAACGGGUGAGUAACACGUGGGUGAUCUGCCCUGCACUUCGGGAUAAGCCUGGGAAACUGGGUCUAAUACCGGAUAGGAGCCAUUUUUAGCGUGAUGGUUGGAAAGUUUUUCGGUGUAGGAUGAGCUCGCGGCCUAUCAGCUUGUUGGUGGGGUAAUGGCCUACCAAGGCGGCGACGGGUAGCCGGCCUGAGAGGGUGGACGGCCACAUUGGGACUGAGAUACGGCCCAG
rnacentral:rRNA from 1 species